rnacentral:rRNA from 1 species
GACGAACGCUGGCGGCGUGCUCAACACAUGCAAGUCGAACGGUAAGGCCCUUCGGGGUACACGAGUGGCGAACGGGUGAGUAACACGUGGGUGAUCUGCCCUGCACUUCGGGAUAAGCCUGGGAAACUGGGUCUAAUACCGGAUAGGACCACUGCCUGCAUGGGUGGUGGUGGAAAGCUUUUGCGGUGUGGGAUGGGCCCGCGGCCUAUGAGCUUGUUGGUGGGGUGAUGGCCUACCAAGGCGACGACGGGUAGCCGGCCCGAGAGGGUGACCGGCCACAAUGGGACUGGGAUACGGCCCAGACUCCUACGGGAGGCAGGAGUGGGGAAUAUUGCACAAUGGGCGCAAGCCUGAUGCAGCGACGCCGCGUGAGGGAUGACGGCCUUCGGGUUGUAAACCUCUUUCAGCACCGACGAAGCGCAAGUGACGGUAGGUGCAGAAGAAGGACCGGCCAACUACGUGCCAGCAGCCGCCGUAA